rnacentral:tRNA from 1 species
GGCCGCGUACCCAAGUGGUUAAGGGGGGGGUCUGCAAAACCUCUAUUCGUCGGUUCGAUUCCGACCGCGGCCUCCA